rnacentral:lncRNA from 1 species
AUCUGCUUUCUUAGCUACUCCGAAAAUAAAUGAAUAGUUUGGAAAGUUUUGUUCCGACUGGAAGUAGAGACAACUUUGGUUACAGUGCUAUUUGCAUACAUACUUGAAGUCCGAGCUCAGGUUGGGUGGGAAAAAAGAAAACCCCCCUAGUGCCUCAUAUUUGAGGCCCUUUUAUGUGUGAUUUUGUAAUGAUGGCAACAUGGCACACUAGCAUUUUAUAUUGUUUUUUUUGUAGCUUUCUAGUUGAAUCUCAAUGUUGCUGUGGUUCUUACAAUUGUAGUGUUUUGUACAUAUGACGUGACACAUUUUGUUGACCAUAUUUACAGUUUUACAAGUAACGGUGCUUCUUUUUGACCACAACAUCUCAGUGUGCAUACAGAGUAUUUUACCCCAAUUAUACAUGAUCCCCAAUUACUACUAUCCUCAGAUACAAUCAGGGAAUACAUUAAAUACCUCAAACACAUGUACUGUUAACAAACAGAAAAAUUAUUACUUGAAUUAUGCUUAUUUUAGUAACCUACUUCAAUAAGCCUGUGUUUACUUUCCCCCCGCAUGCCUCUCUGGCACGUAUUUUUCUACGAAUUUUUCACUGGAUUAAUUAUUUACAUCUGGUUUUGUUGACGAAUUAUCCAUAACGUUUUGGUGGAAUAAAAUAAUAAAACUACACAGUUUUCGUUUGUUUGUUCCACUCCUUCACCUCGUUUCAUGCUUGUAAUACCCCGCACGUCCGCUAGGUGGCAUCCGUGGCAUCCGUCGCGCUCUUUAUACGCAGUUGGAAGACGUAUAGCAGCAGGGGCGUGGCUCAAGAUGGGGAAAUUUGGAUUGCAGUUUAAAGCCACUUUGGAGAAUGUUACAAACGUGAGGCCGGUGGGGGAUGAUUUCCGCUGGUAUUUAAAGGUAAAGUGUGUUCGUGUGACAUGCUGUCAGUGGCCUGACAGUGCUAACAGUUAUUUUGCUCACACGAAAUACUUAUACUUUAAGCAGUUCACUGUUUAUAUUACUAUAUAGACUUAGUAUCAUUCGUAGUGUGAUGAGUACUGAUAAUGUACACAUGGAUAAUUAUACUGAAAACUGUCCUUUAGUCUAAUCACUGACUCCUGUGCUUGCAGCUGAAGUGUGGGAAUUGUGGUGAGGUGUCGGAUAAAUGGCAGUAUAUCACAUUAAUGGUAGGUUGCAAAGUGUGGAAAAUAUAGCCAAUAACUGGUUUGCAUCAUCUACUAGUAUUGUUGCAAGAUGUUUUCAUGCUUUUAGCAAUGAUGAUAUGUUUAUCUUUACUACUUAAAAAAAAUAAAACUACUACUUCAGUAAAACCGAGAAGGG